rnacentral:rRNA from 1 species
CGCCAGACUCCUACGGGAGGCAGCAGUGGGGAAUAUUGCACAAUGGGGGAAACCCUGAGGCAGCGACGCCGCGUGAGCGAAGAAGUACCUCGGUAUGUAAAGCUCUAUCAGCAGGGAAGAAAGUGACAGUACCUGACUAAGAAGCCCCGGCUAACUACGUGCCAGCAGCCGCGGUAAUACGUAGGGGGCAAGCGUUAUCCGGAUUCACUGGGCGUAAAGGGAGCGCAGGCGGCGCAGCAAGUCUGGAGUGAAAGGCAGGGGCCCAACCCCUGGACUGCUCUGGAAACUGUUGUACUUGAGUGCAGGAGAGGUAAGUGGAAUUCCUAGUGUAGCGGUGAAAUGCGUAGAUAUUAGGAGGAACACCAGUGGCGAAGGCGGCUUACUGGACUGUAACUGACGUUGAGGCUCGAAAGCGUGGGGAGCAAACAGGAUUAGAUACCCGUGUAAA